CUACUAGGGUAUCUAAUCCUGUUUGCUCCCCACGCUUUCGUGCCUGAGCGUCAGUCACCGUCUAGCCAUCCGCUUACGCUUCUGGUGUUCCUCGUGAUAUCUACGCAUUUCACCGCUACACCACGAAUUCCGAUAGCUUCUCCGGGACUCAAGAACGGUAGUAUCAAAGGCAAUUUCGCAGUUAAGCUGCGAGCUUUCACCUCUGACUUUCCGCUCCGCCUGCACACCCUUUACACCCAGUAAUUUCGGACAACGCUUGGACCCUCCGUAUUACCGCGGCUGCUGGCAC
rnacentral:rRNA from 1 species